rnacentral:rRNA from 1 species
AUUGAACGCUGGCGGAAUGCUUUACACAUGCAAGUCGAACGGUAGAGGGGGCAACCCCCUUGAGAGUGGCGAACGGGUGAGUAAUAUAUCGGAACGUGCCCAGUCGUGGGGGAUAACGUAGCGAAAGUUACGCUAAUACCGCAUACGAUCUAAGGAUGAAAGCGGGGGAUCGCAAGACCUCGCGCGAUUGGAGCGGCCGAUAUCAGAUUAGGUAGUUGGUGAGGUAAAGGCUCACCAAGCCAACGAUCUGUAGCUGGUCUGAGAGGACGACCAGCCACACUGGAACUGAGACACGGUCCAGACUCCUACGGGAGGCAGCAGUGGGGAAUUUUGGACAAUGGACGCAAGUCUGAUCCAGCCAUUCCGCGUGCAGGAUGAAGGCCCUCGGGUUGUAAACUGCUUUUGUACGGAACGAAAAGGUUUCUCUUAAUACGAGGAGCUCAUGACGGUACCGUAAGAAUAAGCACCGGCUAACUACGUG